UUUGCUUACCGUCGACAGUGCCGCCUGCGUCGCACGUACUACAAGAAGUGGCACAUGCCGAAUUGGGAUCCGUAUCACACUGUGACCCACAGGAAACCGCUAGCGCAUUCCCUGAGCCAGCCGAUGCCGAAGUUCCUGUUGUUCUGUACGGUGUCCAGUUAACCGUUGUACAAGAACUGACACCGGCUUGUUGACAAAGCGAUUCCGGCAUGCGGGCCUGUAUUUCAUACAGCGUGCCACUACCGACUCCGCCGGUUAUCUUCCGUACUCCGGAUUGGGGAACGUCGGCUAGCGCCACUGGUACGACAUUCAGAUUUUGGGCAUUCCCAAAACGAAUUGCUAAACCAUCUUGGGCAUCGGAGGUAUCCCUUUUGCUUCGUCUUGUAUCCAUGGGCGGUAGCCAAAUGUAAAAGAAGUGUUUUCGUCCAGUCUCAGCAACAAAUGAUGAGUCUUCCACGCGAACGCCAAAACUACUUAAAUCAUCGGCAGAUAAAUUUUUUGGGGCCGCUUCCACGGGACCCGAGGCAAAGUUAUCAACUGAUUUAAUGUAACUGCCGUUAGGAAAUUCUGCAUCCUGACUGAUCUUGUCGUCCAGAACGUCAUUAUUACUGGAUGUAUCAUCCGUCUGCAAGCCGAAAACCAAACCCAGCGUUACAGCAAGGAUUACGGCAACGAUGGCAAUUAUGCCGAUCAUCAGCCAAAUUUUCUUGGACUCCAUUACGCAACUUCAACCAGAUUAUGCUCCAGCUGAACGUACCGCAUCUUAUCGGCACAGGAAGUGAACGUGUGAUCUCAGCUUCAUGCUGCCGAUGACUAAUUCUAAACAAUUAUGAGCCCAUCUCUUUUGUACCAUGCUGGAACUUCGUUUUCCGCAGCCAUGUUAUCAGAUGGAAGGGUAAGGUUUAGCAACUUGGACUGCAUCGAGCGCGAAUUGACCACCUGGAGUUCAGGUUACGAGUGCACGUCUCGGAAUGUCGGUGGAGUUGCCAACUGACAGUGCAUGGGUCUAAUAAUGCAACUCUGAGCUGCGUUGUAUCAUAUGCCUUGGCCCUUGUGUAACGGAGUUUGGCAGUGGCGUGUGUUGUGAUCGGCCAGGUUUAAAUUUCUAUGCUGUGCAUGUAAAACACAACAGGUUUAGGGGCUAUUUGCUACCGUGAUGAAACUAUUAAAAACUACAUAAUUAUUUACAAAUGUGUACAAAGCGAUUACUCUGACUGGUGGUAAGCACCGCUGCACCCGGCAUGGCCGAACGGAGUGGGCCAGUGGCAUACACAUUCCAUUGACAUCUUUGCUUAAACUUAAAGGAAUCAUCCAGAUUACUUCCAAUAAGCGUGUAUUAUUGAAUCAAACAGGUCCAGAAUUCCCUGUUGUUUGUAAUCACGGGAUUCUAUCGUGAUGAAACUGUAUUGAAAUUGUUAAUUAUAUUACAGCAUCAAAUGUGAAGUUGUCUGAUUCUGACGGAAUUCAGCUUGCAAACCGUCCUUUGGGAUGCUAAGUACAGGCCACCUUCUCAGCUGGUAGGUUGGGCACUUUUCAACUCAAAAUUUUUCCUAGUCAAAACAACGCAGAAGAAGGAAAAGUUGGCCCAACUGUCGAAAUUGACCAAACUGUAUUAAACCUGAAUAGCCGCACGCAUGGAACUGUCCACUUUCUUUCCUUCCACAUUAUAUUUCAGCCUUUACUGAGUUCUUUUUGGACAGAGAAUGGCUUGCUACAAAUUAGAGGAAAGACGUUCUCGACCUUUUGAACAUUCGUUAUCGUAUGUGGUGGCUGAACAGAAUUCUGUAUUGUUUGUAUGUAAUGAUCUUGCUAUUCUUUUCGCAAGCCUGUUUUACAAAAAAAAGCCUUUUCGUAUCAAAAGGCAGCGGUGUGGAAAAAGUGUAAAAUAUUACAUUGAAGACAGCGUCGCGAUACGGUUUCUCUUCAAGUUCAAGUGUUUUUUUUUGCACAAUUUCUCAAUGUGGAGUUUCAAAUGAACGAUUUUUGCGAAAUUCAAAUUAAUUUUGACUUCCAGUUUUUCUUAAAUUUAACCGGAAAAAAUUACAGGGGCAGUUGUAAAGCUAGUUCGAGCGCACAGUGGCAACAAAUGUUUUUCAAAUACAAGCUUUUUCGCCCUUGGGCCAUGCUUGUGCAAAGCGGUCAGCCACACAGAGUCGGCAGCGCGGUGUUACUUAAAACAAUUUAUGCAGUUUACUUUAGCUUUAGUCUGUGAUAUUUUGACUACAUAUCGGGUAGUCAAAGUUUGCCUGCUUCUCACAAUCGCUUGGUAUGAUCGCCUCUCAGAAUUAAAAUAGUACUAAGGAUUUUCGAAUGCACAAAUAAUGCAACGACAUCAGCGAAAUCAGUCAGUAGUGCUUAAUGUUUCUGUUAAUAAUUAUUGCUAGUCGGUUCAGCCGAACACUUCAAACAGUCUCAUGGUACCGACUUUUCGGCUUACGUGAAUGUGUGGCUAACUGCUGGCAGAGCAAUAGGCCUGGGAAUUUCUACGCAACACUCAUAAUUUGCACAGUGUGGCGUUUUGCGGUGGUGCUAAACCUUACUGUGUGUUCCCCGUAUCCGGUGUCAGUCUUCCGAUCAUACACGGCUUUUAUGAAUUUCGCUACGCAAGCUUUUUUUGAUUAUUUAAAGCGCUGAUGAUUAGCACAUUGUACAGUAUAUUUCUCAAUACGGCAUUUCAAAAUAUUCUCUUACUAAAUUUCUUUUGCACUGAAAAUGGCCGACGCUAUUCAUCAAGCUGUAAGCUAUUUUUUACUUCCGUUGACGACGAUGUUAAUGCUCGUGACGGUGUCUAACGGCAGCAAAGUGGAGAACAGCUCGGUCACGCCCAGCUCUAUGGAUGGUACUGGAUCUGCAGCCAAACCGCAAGAUGAAACCGAUGAGACGGAUACCGCAUUCGCAAGAAUAUUCAGCCGGGUCAGCCCAUGGGUUUUUCCAACUACUGGUACCGACAAGCCCGCAAAGAAACAACCCCGUGCACCCAUUGCAUCGCAAGCUGAGGUCCGUGUGGACGGAAAAAAGUAGGGAGAGCGCUUCAAGUUGCAAAUGUAUAUAUCUUCUUAAUUGGGCUUCUAUCUGCUUUCGGCGCUGCGCAAAUUUCAUUCUACAAUUAUUGGGUAUGCUUGUGUAAAUUCUCUGUAAAAUGUAUAUACCGGGGCUUCUGUCUUAAAACCUGGCACAAGAUGACAAAGGCAGUUCGAACCCAAUGUACGUUGCUAUCAACCCUACAGAUGUUUCGAACGCCCAUUCGAAAUAAAGGCAAUG